rnacentral:rRNA from 1 species
GAUAAACGCUGGUGGCGCACAUAAGACAUGCAAGUCGAACGGAAGUCGUUAUACAAGGAGAGAAGAUUUAUCGGAUUGAAUUAUAUAACAAUGGCUUUAGUGGCGGACUGGUGAGUAACGCGUAAGAAAUCUACCUAUUAGAGGGGAACAACAAUGAGAAAUCAUUGCUAAUACCGCAUAUGCCAUAAACAUCGCAUGAUGAAAGUGGGAAAGGAGCAAUCCGCUGAUAGAUGAUCUUGCGUCUGAUUAGUUAGUUGGUGGGGUAAUGGCCUACCAAGACGACGAUCUGUAGCCGGACUGAGAGGUUGAACGGCCACAUUGGGACUGAGAUACGGCCCAGACUCCUACGGGAGGCAGCAGUCGGGAAUAUUGCGCAAUGGAGGAAACUCUGACGCAGUGACGCCGCGUGCAGGAAGGAGGUUUUCGGAUUGUAAACUGCUUUAGACAGGGAAGAGAAAGGACAGUACCUGUAGAAUAAG